rnacentral:rRNA from 1 species
ACUCCUACGGGAGGCAGCAGUGGGGAAUCUUGGACAAUGGGGGCAACCCUGAUCCAGCCAUGCCGCGUGAGUGAUGAAGGCCCUAGGGUCGUAAAGCUCUUUCGCCUGUGAAGAUAAUGACGGUAGCAGGUAAAGAAACCCCGGCUAACUCCGUGCCAGCAGCCGCGGUAAUACGGAGGGGGUUUAGCGUUUGUUUCGGAAUUACUGGGCGUAAAGCGCACGUAGGCGGAUCGGAAAGUUGGGGUGAAAUCCCGGGGCUCAACCCCGGAACUGCCUCCAAAACUAUCGGUCUAGAGUUCGAGAGAGGUGAGUGGAAUUCCGAGUGUAGAGGUGAAAUUCGUAGAUAUUCGGAGGAACACCAGUGGCGAAGGCGGCUCACUGGCUCGAUACUGACGCUGAGGUGCGAAAAGUGUGGGGAGCAAAACAGGAUUAGAUACCCUGGUAGACUGUCA